GUAGGUGGCAAGCGUUGUCCGGAAUUAUUGGGCGUAAAGCGCGCGCAGGCGGUUCUUUAAGUCUGAUGUGAAAGCCCACGGCUCAACCGUGGAGGGUCAUUGGAAACUGGAGAACUUGAGUACAGAAGAGGAAAGCGGAACUCCACGUGUAGCGGUGAAAUGCGUAGAGAUGUGGAGGAACACCAGUGGCGAAGGCGGCUUUCUGGUCUGUAACUGACGCUGAGGCGCGAAAGCGUGGGGAGCAAACAGGAUUAGAUACCCUGGUAGUCCACGCCGUAAACGAUGAGUGCUAAGUGUUAGGGGGUUUCCGCCCCCCUUAGUGCUGCAGCUAACGCAUUAAGCACUCCGCCUGGGAGUACGGCCGCAAGGCUG
rnacentral:rRNA from 1 species